UGGGGAAUAUUGGACAAUGGGCGCAAGCCUGAUCCAGCCAUGCCGCGUGAGUGAUGAAGGCCCUAGGGUUGUAAAGCUCUUUCACCGGUGAAGAUAAUGACGGUAACCGGAGAAGAAGCCCCGGCUAACUUCGUGCCAGCAGCCGCGGUAAUACGAAGGGGGCUAGCGUUGUUCGGAUUUACUGGGCGUAAAGCGCACGUAGGCGGACUUUUAAGUCAGGGGUGAAAUCCCGGGGCUCAACCCCGGAACUGCCUUUGAUACUGGAAGUCUUGAGUAUGGUAGAGGUGAGUGGAAUUCCGAGUGUAGAGGUGAAAUUCGUAGAUAUUCGGAGGAACACCAGUGGCGAAGGCGGCUCACUGGACCAUUACUGACGCUGAGGAGCGAAAGCGUGGGGAGCAAACAGG
rnacentral:rRNA from 1 species